GCAGGCUGCAACUCGCCUGCAUGAAGUUGGAGUUGCUAGUAAUCGCGGACCAGAAUGCCGCGGUGAAUACGUUCCCGGGCCUUGUACACACCGCCCGUCACACCAUGGAAGUCUGCAAUGCCCGAAGCCGGUGGCCUAACCACUUAUGUGGAAGGAGCCGUCUAAGGCAGGGCAGAUGACUGGGGUGAAGUCGUAACAAGGUAAC
rnacentral:rRNA from 1 species